rnacentral:rRNA from 1 species
GAUGAACGCUGGCGGCGUGCCUAAUACAUGCAAGUCGAGCGAACGGACGAGAAGCUUGCUUCUCUGAUGUUAGCGGCGGACGGGUGAGUAGCACGUGGAUAACCUACCUAUAAGACUGGGAUAACUUCGGGAAACCGGAGCUAAUACCGGAUGAUAUUUUGAACCGCAUGGUUCAAAAGUGAAAGACGGUCUUGCUGUCACUUAUAGAUGGAUCCGCGCUGCACUAGCUAGUUGGUAAGGUAACGGCUUACCAAGGCAACGAUGCAUAGCCGACCUGAGAGGGUGAUCGGCCACACUGGAACUGAGACACGGUCCAGACUCCUACGGGAGGCAGCAGUAGGGAAUCUUCCGCAAUGGGCGAAAGCCUGACGGAGCAACGCCGCGUGAGUGAUGAAGGUCUUCGGAUCGUAAAACUCUGUUAUUAGGGAAGAACAUAUGUGUAAGUAACUGUGCACAUCUUGACGGUACCUAAUCAGAAAGCCACGGCUAACUACGUG